AUGGCCCACAUAUCAGAUAUUAAACUGAUAAGAACAGAUACUACACUUGAUCUUAGCCAAAAGGCCGAGAAAGAUAUGAUGUGCAAUGAUGCCCUCCCCUCCUCUUAUAGCUCUGUCCACCAUGUCUCCGCUCUCCGCCAGCGAGGUGGUACUAAACCAGAACCAAAGAACAGAGAGUCUCUGUGGCGCUCGAGCAACCAGCCAAGCCAGCCUAUGCGCCUCUCGUUCGUUUGGGCUUCAGCAGGCCCGGUAAGAACACCACGGCAGUCAGCAGCCUAUAGUUCCACGGCCCAGUAUUACGACUCCUUUUUUUCGCUGUUCGUUUCCCUAGCUGAGUGUGUGUGA
rnacentral:rRNA from 1 species